AUUGAACGCUGGCGGCAUGCCUUACACAUGCAAGUCGAACGGCAGCACGGGAGCAAUCCUGGUGGCGAGUGGCGAACGGGUGAGUAAUAUAUCGGAACGUGCCCAGUGAUGGGGGAUAGCCCGGCGAAAGCCGGAUUAAUACCGCAUACGACCUACGGGUGAAAGCAGGGGAUCGCAAGACCUUGCGUCAUUGGAGCGGCCGAUAUCAGAUUAGCUUGNGGUGGGGUAAAGACCUACCAAGGCGACGAUCUGUAGCUGGUCUGAGAGGACGACCAGCCACACUGGGACUGAGACACGGCCC
rnacentral:rRNA from 1 species